GAUGAACGCUGGCGGCGUGCCUAAUACAUGCAAGUCGAGCGAACAGACGAGGAGCUUGCUCCUCUGACGUUAGCGGCGGACGGGUGAGUAACACGUGGAUAACCUACCUAUAAGACUGGGAUAACUUCGGCAAACCGGAGCUAAUACCGGAUAAUAUAUUGAACCGCAUGGUUCAAUAGUGAAAGACGGUUUUGCUGUCACUUAUAGAUGGAUCCGCGCCGCAUUAGCUAGUUGGUAAGGUAACGGCUUACCAAGGCGACGAUGCGUAGCCGACCUGAGAGGGUGAUCGGCCACACUGGAACUGAGACACGGUCCAGACUCCUACGGGAGGCAGCAGUAGGGAAUCUUCCGCAAUGGGCGAAAGCCUGACGGAGCAACGCCGCGUGAGUGAUGAAGGUCUUCGGAUCGUAAAACGCUGUUAUUAGGGAAGAACAAAUGUGUAAGUAACUAUGCACGUCUUGACGGUACCUAAUCAGAAAGCCACGGCUAACUACGU
rnacentral:rRNA from 1 species